UUUUAUUUGCUCUAAUUCAUGAUCUUAUAUUUUAUAACACAUGAUGAAAAUUAAAUUAAUAGGCAAAAGCAUUCGCCAUUUUCACAAACAAAUUAUCGAAGAAACAUCUCAAUUAAAAUUGCUCAAAAUAUCAGAGAAAAAGAUUCCCAUUUAUAAAAUUCUGAAUGAGGAUGGUAGAGUCUCUCCAUCUGCUCAUGAUAAAAAGUUAGAUAAAAAUACACUAAUUAAAAUGUACCAAGAUAUGAUUAAAUUGAAUAUAAUGGAUAAAAUUCUUUACGAUAGUCAAAGGCAAGGUAGAAUAUCAUUUUACAUGACAAAUAAUGGUGAGGAAGCUUGUCAAAUUGGUAGUGCAGCUGCAUUUGAUCAACAUGAUAUGAUAUAUGCUCAAUAUAGAGA